rnacentral:rRNA from 1 species
AUUGAACGCUGGCGGCAUGCUUUACACAUGCAAGUCGAACGGCAGCAUGACCUAGCUUGCUAGGUUGAUGGCGAGUGGCGAACGGGUGAGUAAUGCACCGGAACGUACCCAGUAAUGGGGGAUAACGCACCGAAAGGUGUGCUAAUACCGCAUACGCCCUGAGGGGGAAAGCGGGGGACCGUAAGACCUCGCGUGAUUGGAGCGGCCGAUGCCGGAUUAGCUAGUUGGUGGGGUAAAGGCCUACCAAGGCGACGAUCCGUAGCUGGUCUGAAAGGACGACCAGCCCCACUGGGACUGAGACACGGCCCAGACUCCUACGGGAGGCAGCAGUGGGGAAUUUUGGACAAUGGGCGCAAGCCUGAUCCAGCCAUGCCGCGUGAGUGAAGAAGGCCUUCGGGCUGUAAAGCUCUUUCGCAAGGAAAGAAAACUUAGCUACUAAUACUAGCUGAGGAUGACGGUACCUUGAUAAGAAGCACCGGCUAACUACGUGCCAGCAGCCGCCGUAA